CAGUCGCCGCGGUAAUACGAAGGGGGCUAGCGUUGUUCGGAUUUACUGGGCGUAAAGGGCGCGUAGGCGGACUGAUAAGUCAGGGGUGAAAUCCCAAGGCUCAACCUUGGAACUGCCUUUGAUACUGUUUGUCUUGAGUUCGAGAGAGGUAAGUGGAACUGCGAGUGUAGAGGUGAAAUUCGCAGAUAUUCGCAAGAACACCAGUGGCGAAGGCGACUCUCUGGUCUGUAACUGACGCUGAGGAGCGAAAGCGUGGGGAGCGAACAGGAUUAGAUACCCGUGUAGUCCCUGUCUCUUAUAC
rnacentral:rRNA from 1 species